rnacentral:piRNA from 1 species
UGGUUUCUGUUGCUCUCGUCCUAUGCUUGU